GACGAACGCUGGCGGCGUGCCUAACACAUGCAAGUCGGGCGAGUGAAUUUCCUUCGGGAUUGAAGCUAGCGGCGGACGGGUGAGUAACACGUGGGCAACCUGCCUCAUAGAGGGGAAUAGCCUUUCGAAAGGAAGAUUAAUACCGCAUAAGAUUGUAGCUUCGCGUGAAGUAGCAAUUAAAGGAGUAAUCCGCUAUGAGAGGGGCCCGCGGCGCAUUAGCUAGUUGGGGAGGUAACGGCUCACCAAGGCGACGAUGCGUAGCCGACCUGAGAGGGUGAUCGGCCACAUUGGGACUGAGACACGGCCCAGACUCCUACGGGAGGCAGCAGUGGGGAAUAUUGCACAAUGGGGGAAACCCUGAUGCAGCAACGCCGCGUGAGUGAUGACGGCCUUCGGGUUGUAAAGCUCUGUCUUCAGGGACGAUAAUGACGGUACCUGAGGAGGAAGCCACGGCUAACUACGUGCCAGCCGCCGCCGUAA
rnacentral:rRNA from 1 species